CACACACACGCAGGUGCAUGUAUGUAGGAUGAUAAAAAAUAGAACAGUUGCACUUAAUACAUGUUUACCACUUGUCAUGGCAUGCAAAUUUUUUAGCAUCACUAGCAUUUUUUAGCAUCACUAAUGGUACGUUUACACGCUCGCCAAGCCUUGGCAAACUGCAAACAGUCCCAAGCCUCCACAUAUCUCGUUUGGCGUUUGAAAGGUAAAAGAUUCAUUAUAAUCGUACCAGGAAACUAUUGUUUUGAUCUAACCAUUAUCUUGCAGUUGAGUUAUGCCAAAAUACUUACGAUAAAUUUUAUUUGUUACAGACAAUUUAUAGAAGAGAAUGAAUGAACUAUUCUAGUUUUGAGUUUUUACUGCAAAAAAUUUCACCAAUGCCAAGCAUGAUACAGAAAAACUAUACCAGUCAAGUUUCGUCUUGCCAUGACGGUGGUGUUGCUUCACUACCGGCCCUUCCAGGGCAGUGCUGUCGGAUUCAAGCCGCCGCCCCGAACCAUUGCGAAGGCCUCAAAGGUGUGGACGCCGUAUUAUAUUCUGGCUUCCGGUGUCGUAUUCCUGCCCGUUUGAGAUGCUUUCUCACUGUUGGCAUGUUGCAAUCAAAUAAUUU